rnacentral:rRNA from 1 species
GACGAACGCUGGCGGCGUGCUUAACACAUGCAAGUCGAACGGUCAGCACUGGAAGGUUCGCUGGAAGGUGCUGUUAGUGGCGGACGGGUGAGUAACGCGUGAGGACAUGGCUCCAGGAGGGGGAUAACGUUUGGAAACGGACGCUAAGACCCCAUAUGCCGGAAGGUGAAAUGGCGUAAGCCAGCCUGGAGAGUGACUCGCGUCCUAUCAGCUAGUUGGUGGGGUGAAGGCCUACCAAGGCGAUGACGGGUAGCCGACCUGAGAGGGUGGCCGGCCACACUGGAACUGAGAUACGGUCCAGACUCCUACGGGAGGCUG